UACGAAGGGGGCUAGCGUUGCUCGGAAUCACUGGGCGUAAAGGGUGCGUAGGCGGGUCUUUAAGUCAGGGGUGAAAUCCUGGAGCUCAACUCCAGAACUGCCUUUGAUACUGAGGAUCUUGAGUUCGGGAGAGGUGAGUGGAACUGCGAGUGUAGAGGUGAAAUUCGUAGAUAUUCGCAAGAACACCGGUGGCGAAGGCGGGUCUCUGGGCCGAUACUGACGCUGAGGAGCGAAAGCGUGGGGAGCAAACAGG
rnacentral:rRNA from 1 species